ensembl:lncRNA
AAAAACAUGCCUUGGUGCUGUUAGCAUUGUGUUUUCCUGGGGGAAAAAGUGGAGAUUCUGCUCUGAUUACAUGUGUUAAAGAAGAAAAAGAGAGAUGUUGGUGGAGAUGACUGCAGAGUGGGCUUGUCCUCAGCACUUUCCUACAGCAUCCUUGUUCGUGGAGGCUACUGAAGAACUGGCAUGGGACCAAUUUGCGUGACUGCAUCUCAGCAGCAGCAUUCUGACCUCUGGUUUUAUCAUAUCCAUCACGAGUAGACUGGAGAAUCCUGUCUUGGCGUAGUGGCUGUUGUAUAUGGCAUCCUUUUGAAUAAUGAUUGAAACGGGACAGUAACCAUUCAGAGUUUAUUGCACAUCAGAGCAAAGCUAUACUCUGUUCACUUCCCAAUUAUUCUCCUGUCAGAAAGAGAGCAAAGGGAGACAGGAAGAAUGGUUCACUUGUCUACCUGUGCAAUCUGUGGUUGAUGGGCCUCUGAAUUGGUGAGAAGUGCUGUGUUUUCCGAGUGCCAACAGGUGAAGUUUGCAAGGAGGGGUGUAUUUAUUUUGUAAAACUCAUGCUACAGUAUGCUGAGAGCACUUUCUGGGGAAAUUUAAUAAAGCUGAUUAUGAAUGAGAAGGUAGAAG